UACGAAGGGGGCUAGCGUUGUUCGGAGUUACUGGGCGUAAAGGGCGCGUAGGCGGCGCACCAAGUCAGGCGUGAAAGCCCUGGGCUCAGCCCGGGAAUUGCGCUUGAGACUGGUGUGCUUGAGUACGGGAGAGGAUAGUGGAAUUCCGGGUGUAGCGGUGGAAUGCGUAGAGAUCCGGAAGAACACCAGUGGCGAAGGCGGCCCGCUGGGCAGUGGCUGACGCUGAGGCGCGACAGCGUGGGGAGCAAACAGG
rnacentral:rRNA from 1 species